CAGCAGCCACGGUAAUACAGAGGGUGCAAGCGUUAAUCGGAAUUACUGGGCGUAAAGCGCGCGUAGGUGGUUUGUUAAGUUGGAUGUGAAAUCCCCGGGCUCAACCUGGGAACUGCAUCCAAAACUGGCAAGCUAGAGUAUGGUAGAGGGUGGUGGAAUUUCCUGUGUAGCGGUGAAAUGCGUAGAUAUAGGAAGGAACACCAGUGGCGAAGGCGAACACCUGGACUGAUACUGACACUGAGGUGCGAAAGCGUGGGGAGCAAACAGGAUUAGAUACCCCUGUAGUCCCUGUCUCUUAUAC
rnacentral:rRNA from 1 species